CACUAUUAUAUAAGAGAUACUUUCUUUGCAUCAUCAAAACCCAAUAACCGUCACUUCCAUCUCAUUUGUUCAGCCACUUUACUCUUCUUUACUUUUUUUUGCUUUCAUCUCCUUUGCUCACACUCUCUUCAUCGCCACUUCUGGGGACGCCGGAGGCGGUGGUUCUCCGUCACCGACUCCGAUGCCAAGCGCAAAUGCUCCGCCGCCAUUCUUAUGUAUAACCAAUUGAUUGAUUGGUAUGAUAUUUUAUGAAUUCUUUUUGUUUCAUAAUUUCUCUUAUUAUUUCUGCUUAGUACCAUUUGUUUAUCCCACAUAAGGAUAACGAGAAUCAUCUCUUUCUUUUCUUUAGGAUAGUGGAAGUUUCUAUGCAAGAUCAAUUUAUUCUUUUUUAAUUAGAGAGGAUUUUUAUUAUGACAAAAGCAUAAAUUCUAUGUUCUCUUCCUUUAAUUAUUCUUUGAAGAUAGAAAUUCUAACCGAACUUUUUUCACUUUGAUUAAUUUUGAGUUUUCUCUUGCUCUUUUUUGUUUUAAACCUUUGCCUUUAUGCUAUAUGUAAUUGUGGUGGAAGAUUAACAGAGCAGAUGGAGUAUCUUAAAUACUCAUAUGUAUUUCAUAUAACCAGGUUAGCAAAAUUUACUGUCCCGACUACUUUCUUCAAACAAGGCUUUCCGAUUUAGAAUUUUGAGUUUAUCGAUGUAUGAUCAAAAUUAAGGAGAAUAUUUGCUCUAUUUGAAGUGUAUUUAUUUACAUUAUUUAUGCUGAGUGAUAUCUCCUUCAAACACUUACUUGACAAAUUCUGAUUUGUUCGGAUGCUUCAUCUAUUUGUUAAGCAUGAAUUUGUCAUUUUCUUCCUUUAAUCCCUGGUUUGAAAAUUGUCUAGUAGGAGCACUAUCUUUAUGCUUUUUGUGCCUGAAUGAAAUUUUCUGCUAUUGUUAGGAUGCAAUAUUUUGAUGAUUCUUCAAAAUUAUAUUGUUUCUAUCUGCAAAACUUAGAUAUUAAUAAUUUUUAUUUUAUUUAAAGAGGAAGAGUCGGAGACAAUUAAUAAUAAUAACUUAUUUAUUGUUUUCUAUUGAAGAGAGUUCGAAAAGGAAAUGAAAUUGUUAUUAGGUAAAUUUGACUACUUCAUUCUCCAAUAUUAGGGAACAAUGAUACAUCUUUCUGAUAUGUGAAUAUGAUACAUUCCAAUUAUUUGGAUCUUGUAGAUACAUGCUUUCAUAUUCAUGUAACAUGACGUUCCAUUUCUGAUAUAUUUUGAAAGGCCUUUUGUAGCUUUCGGCUAAGAGUUGAUUAAGCUUUUUUCUUUCUUUCUUUUGACUAUACUCUAAUAAAUUUGAGAUCUUUAGACAUGCGUUCUUAUAAUACGACCUGUCUUUAUCCAUGACUUCCUAAAUUUAUGAUUUGGUGAUUAUCUGUAAAUGACUCAAAUUUUUGUCAGAGUGCAACUGUUCAAUAUUAGAAAAUCUAUUACUAAGUAAUUAUUUGUAUGUUGUAUUUGGUUCCUCAUAGCUAUAUUGGAUAAAUUCCUUUUGAAAACCUUUUCUUAAUUACAAGAAACUUCUCAGCUAAUUUCAUUUUAAAUGUGGGUAUACUCUAACCCAUGUCCCGAAGGUUCUCUUCUCGAGUUCUUCGUGUAAUUGCAAUUAGCUUGAAGUAGCAGUGUUUUUCUAUGUAGUGCCAGAUACACUUUGCUAUGUUCUCAUAAAUAGGUCAUACAUUGAUGUUAUAACAUUUUUAUGGGUUUUUUUCUUAAUCUUAUUAAUGACGUAGAUGUUGAUACUUGAAAAAAUUUAAACUUUUUUAAUUGACGGUUUCAACAUUUAGUUAC
rnacentral:lncRNA from 1 species